UACGUAGGUGGCAAGCGUUGUCCGGAAUUAUUGGGCGUAAAGCGCGCGCAGGCAGUCCUUUAAGUCUGAUGUGAAAGCCCACGGCUCAACCGUGGAGGGUCAUUGGAAACUGGGGGACUUGAGUGCAGAAGAGGAGAGUGGAAUUCCACGUGUAGCGGUGAAAUGCGUAGAGAUGUGGAGGAACACCAGUGGCGGAAGGCGACUCUCUGGUCUGUAACUGACGCUGAGACGCGAAGGCGUGGGGAGCGAACGGG
rnacentral:rRNA from 1 species